rnacentral:rRNA from 1 species
GCCGAACCGUCCUAACGUUGUUCGGAAUCACUGGGCUUAAAGGGCGCGUAGGCGGGCUGCCAAGUCCGGGGUGAAAUCUUUCGGCUCAACCGGAAAAUAGCCUUGGAUACUGGCGGUCUCGAGGGAGGCAGGGGCCGUUGGAACUUCCGGUGGAGCGGUGAAAUGCGUUGAUAUCGGAAGGAACGCCGGUGGCGAAAGCGAACGGCUGGGCCUCUUCUGACGCUGAGGCGCGAAAGCCAGGGUAGCAAACGGG